GGCAGGCCUAACACAUGCAAGUCGAACGGCAGCACAGUGGAGCUUGCUCCAUGGGUGGCGAGUGGCGGACGGUGAGGAAUACAUCGGAAUCUGCCCAGUCGUGGGGAUAACAUAGGGAAACUUUAUGCUAAUACCGCAUACGACCUACGGGUGAAAGCGGGGGAUCGCAAGACCUCGCGCGAUUGGAUGAGCCGAUGUCCGAUUAGCUAGUUGACGGGGUAAUGGCCCACCAAGGCGACGAUCGGUAGCUGGUCUGAGAGGAUGAUCAGCCACACUGGAACUGAGACACGGUCCAGACUCCUACGGGAGGCAGCAGUGGGGAAUAUUGGACAAUGGGCGCAAGCCUGAUCCAGCCAUGCCGCGUGGGUGAAGAAGGCCUUCGGGUUGUAAAGCCCUUUUGUCCGGAAAGAAACGCCUCGGAUUAAUACUCUGGGGUAAUGACGGUACCGGAAGAAUAAGCACCGGCUAACUUCGUG
rnacentral:rRNA from 1 species